UACUCUUCAGAAUAAUUAACUUUUGUUACAGAGUUCAUGAAACGGCUGCUUAAUUUUUUAACAGGAUUUUUCCACUUGCCAGAUUAGUAAUGAGUAGAAGGAGAAGUUGUAUAAAUUCGUUCUUAUUAAUUACAGCAGACCAACUUUAUGUUCCCGAAAAGGUUCAUUUAUGAUGGGACAGUUUGGAAUACCUAUGACAUCAUCAGUGACAGUAAUCUUGUCCCAAAAACUCAG
rnacentral:lncRNA from 1 species